GACAGAGGGUGCAAACGUUGCUCGGAAUUACUGGGCGUAAAGCGCGUGUAGGCGGUCCAGUCAGUCGGGUGUGAAAGCCCCGGGCUCAACCCGGGAAGCGCACACGAUACUGCUGGACUGGGGUCUUGAAGAGGAGAGCGGAAUUCCCGGUGUAGAGGUGAAAUUCGUAGAUAUCGGGAGGAACACCAGUGGCGAAGGCGGCUCUCUGGGCAAUGACCGACGCUGAGACGCGAAAGCGUGGGAAGCAAACAGGG
rnacentral:rRNA from 1 species